rnacentral:tRNA from 1 species
GGGAGAAUAGGUAAAUCUGUGGCGGUCUCGAAAACCGUUGAGGGCCUUUGGGUCCUUCGUGGGUUCGAAUCCCACCCCCU